UGGGGAAUAUUGCACAAUGGGCGCAAGCCUGAUGCAGCCAUGCCGCGUGUGUGAAGACGGCCUUCGGGUUGUAAAGCACUUUCAGCGGGGAGGAAGGCGUUAAGGUUAAUAACCUUGGCGAUUGACGUUACCCGCAGAAGAAGCACCGGCUAACUCCGUGCCAGCGGCCGCGGUAAUACGGAGGGUGCAAGCGUUAAUCGGAAUUACUGGGCGUAAAGCGCACGCAGGCGGUCUGUCAAGUCGGAUGUGAAAUCCCCGGGCUCAACCUGGGAACUGCAUUCGAAACUGGCAGGCUAGAGUCUUGUAGAGGGGGGUAGAAUUCCAGGUGUAGCGGUGAAAUGAGUAGAGAUCUGGAGGAAUACCGGUGGCGAAGGCGGCCCCCUGGACAAAGACUGACGCUCAGGUGCGAAAGCGUGGGGAGCAAACAGG
rnacentral:rRNA from 1 species